ensembl:lncRNA
AUUAAAGAGACAAAAUAUUGUCUAUUAAUUAUUCAACUAAACUUUGUUGUACAUCUGUUUGGUUCAUUGAAAGGAAGUCUGUGCUUUCAGUGAGAAUUUGGACAAGUAAUGAGAGGUGAUGGAAGGUGAAAAGUGGAAUGAUGGAAGAGAUGUCCCAGAAACAUCCCACAGGAGAAGGUACUUUCACUGUGGAAGUGCUGGCACCCCCUGUCCCAGGAUAUUGUGAGACUCCACAGCAGCGUCAGUAUUUAAGGAUGGUUUCAGGUGCUCCAGAUGACAGUAGAAACAUGACACUUCACCUGGAUGUUACCUCAAGAUUGAGAAAAGUAGAAGAUAAAGAACUCUAUUUGCCCUGGCCUUAUGUUGAUCUCACGCUUUGAAGCAGAGCUGACUGAUGAUUCCUGGAGGAUGUUACCACCUGUGUAAAGGAAUAAUCACUCUCAUUCUUCACAUUCAAUCUCCACCCAUUGUACCAGUCACCCCCAAAAGAAUCAGCAGGUCUUCUGGCAGAUGUAUAAAACCAGAACAAGUCAGAACACUAUCACAUAGUGUGCUAUACAUCACCAGGUGCUCAACAUUAUCAAAGAGAGGACUUUCAACAGGUGUCAGAAGCCACAAUGUCGGGUAAAAGCUUCCAGGGACUGAAGGAACAAGCUGAAGGUGCAGCAAAAGAUGCUGCAAACACAUUGGGACAGGCCACUCAGGAUGCAGUCAACCAGAUUACAGAUGCAAGCCAGAAAGGUAGGAGCAAUGACGUUCAAAUUAAGAUGGAGCAGCUCAACACAAGCCAGAAGUGGCCAGUGCUCAUUCUCCUCUGUUCCACAGGUGUUCUCAGCCUGAAAGUCCUUGGUUUCAGUCACCACUUUAUAUAACCUUUAAUAUUUUAUAACAACUUUAACAUUUUUAUAACAACCUUUAUAAAUCUCACAAAAGGAUUUCAGGAUCUGUUGCUGAGUAGCUCCACACAGCUACUGUACAGGCAGACUGUAGCUGACACUCCCUGGCCAUCGAGUCUCAAGCACAGUGUUCAGACAUUGGCUUCCUAUUUAGAAAACUUGUGGGGACAGCUCUUCUUUCAAGAGCAUUAAGUAACCCUAUGUUACAUCUUGCUCCCCCCACCCUGGCCCUGAGGGCAGGGGUCUGUCCAGGUCCAGUCCUACACUGGAUCCCAGCAGCUGCUGGGGCAGCAGCUGGGGUUGAACAUUACAGAUCCUGCAGGUGAAAAGUUGCUGUCUAGAAAGUGUUGGCAUCUUGCAGCUGGAGGCUGGGACCAAGCUAAACUAAAAACUAGGCUGAUUCUUUUUAUUUUUAAUGAUUUAAUAAUAUUCAAGUAUGAGGGGAGAAUUAGCAAUUUUGGGGUCUAAAAUAUUUCAUGAAAGCUAAAAUGCACUGGCAGUAUCCCCUAAAAGCCGACACCUUUCACAGCUCCAUGGAUGUAACAAGAAGGGCAGGCUUGGGCACCUGUUAAUGUUAGAUGGAGAAGCAGCAAAAUGUCCAAAAUCUUUUUUUUCCAGAUAUAUCACUCUUUUUUUGUAGUCUAGUCAUUUUAACACCUUUCUUCUAUCAUAAGUACUAAACCAUGUUGCAUUUUUCCAACUUUCUGUUUAUCUUUUUCCCUCUCUUGCAGCUUUUGACAAGGCUUCCAAGACAGCACAAGAUGGAGUAGAAAAGGUGGCUGGACAGGCUGCAGAAGCAAUGUCUGGCUUCGGGAAAAAAUGUGGAUUUAAAAAAUGAUGCUAAUUCAAGUCAACUGUACUGAUUGUAUAAAUCUCUUUGGUCUGCUAUUAGCUACUUCUUUGUGUAGAAAAAUGAAAGCUGUUUGAUAUCUGGAUAAUUUUGUUCUCUUCAAAUACAAAUUUUUAAGGCAGAAGGUCCCCCUCAUCCUUUGCAUAGAAAAAUUACAUCUUUUAGCACCAUUGCUCACAAUUGUCAACGUGGCUCAAAAGGUUUCAGCAAUGCUGUUCCCCUGCUCUUACAACAGCUCAGUGAUUAUUGCCACAUUUGCUGAGUGUAUUUACAAAGCCAGUGAAACUGUUCAUAAUUAGGACACUAGAAUAGUCAUGUGAUGAAACUGAGUCUUCUUCCAAUAAUCAAAACUUAAGCUGGGGUUAUAUGUCUUGUCAGUUGUUUGUUCCCAUCCUCUGCAUUUUUAGAUAAAGAUAAAUAAAGGUUUGUAAGAUUUCCA